rnacentral:tRNA from 1 species
GGGGCCGUAGUCUAGCCAGGAAUGACGACGGGCUCCAGACCCGUAGGUCGUCGGUUCAAAUCCGGCCGGCCCCACCA